rnacentral:rRNA from 1 species
GAUGAACGCUGGCGGCGUGCCUAAUACAUGCAAGUCGAGCGAACAGACGAGGAGCUUGCUCCUCUGACGUUAGCGGCGGACGGGUGAGUAACACGUGGAUAACCUACCUAUAAGACUGGGAUAACUUCGGGAAACCGGAGCUAAUACCGGAUAACAUGUUGAACCGCAUGGUUCAACAGUGAAAGACGGUCUUGCUGUCACUUAUAGAUGGAUCCGCGCCGCAUUAGCUAGUUGGUAAGGUAACGGCUUACCAAGGCAACGAUGCGUAGCCGACCUGAGAGGGGGGUGGCCCCACCGGGAACUGAGCACCGGCCCAGACUCCAAGGGGAGGCAGAGAUAGGGAGUCUUCGGAAAGGGGGGAAAGCUUGCGGGAGCAACGCCGGGGGGGUGAAGAAGUUCUUCGGUUCGUAAAACUCUUUUUUUAGGGAAAAAAAAAUGGUUAAGUAACUAGCCCCGGUUUACCGGUACCUAAGAAAAAAGCCCCGGCUACCUGCGG